GACGAACGCUGGCGGCGUGCUUAACACAUGCAAGUCGAACGGAAAGGCCCUGCUUGCAGGGUACUCGAGUGGCGAACAGGUGAGUAACACGUGGGUGAUCUGCCCUGCACUUCGGGAUAAGCCUGGGAAACUGGGUCUAAUACCGGAUAGGAGCCAUUUUUAGUGUGAUGGUUGGAAAGUUUUUUUCGGUGUAGGAUGAGCUCGCGGCCUAUCAGCUUGUUGGUGGGGUAAUGGCCUACCAAGGCGGCGACGGGUAGCCGGCCUGAGAGGGUGGACGGCCACAUUGGGACUGAGAUACGGCCCAGACUCCUACGGGAGGCAGCAGUGGGGAAUAUUGCACAAUGGGCGCAAGCCUGAUGCAGCGACGCCGCGUGGGGGAUGACGGCCUUCGGGUUGUAAACUCCUUUCGCUAGGGACGAAGCUUUUUGUGACGGUACCUAGAUAAGAAGCACCGGCUAACUACGUG
rnacentral:rRNA from 1 species